rfam:Brachypodium distachyon strain Bd21 chromosome 4, whole genome shotgun sequence.
CAAGUAUUCCUCCGUCCAACAAAAGAUGUCUCAACUUUAACUAAAUUUGAAUGUAUUUGUACACUAAGUCAUGUCUAGAUACAUUUAAUUUUUGAUAAACUUGAGACAUCUUUUGUUGGACGGAGGGAGUAAAAA